UGGGUCAGCAGCUCCAGCAUCACAAUGCUGAGAUCACAACUGCGUCUGUAGUCUGAAAUUGUCUAGAUGACUCUCCCAUCCAUGAGAAUGUCUUUCCUCCAAAUCAGAAGUGGCCUUUAGAUGUUUGAGGGCUUGCUCUGCAACCAGCUCUUCUUUCUUGUUCCAUUCCACAGCAUUCAUUACACAGGUCCACAGGAGACCAAUCACUGCUGGCUCAGGCAGCUCGUUUCUUUUCAUUUCUUCUUUUACAUAAAGCA
rnacentral:lncRNA from 1 species